AUAGUACUCCCUCCGUCCCAAAAUUCUUGUCUUAGAUUUGUCUAGAUAUGGAUGUAUCAAGUCACAUUUUAGUAUUAAUUACAUCCGUAUCUAGACAAAUCUAAGACAAGAAAUUUGGGACAGAGGGAGUAGUAC
rfam:Triticum aestivum genome assembly, contig: Triticum_aestivum_CS42_TGACv1_scaffold_432932_5DL